UACGGAGGGGGCUAGCGUUGUUCGGAAUUACUGGGCGUAAAGCGCGUGUAGGCGGGUCUUUAAGUCAGGGGUGAAAUGCCAGGGCUCAACCUUGGAACUGCCUUUGAUACUGGAGACCUUGAGUCCGGGAGAGGUGAGUGGAAUUGCGAGUGUAGAGGUGAAAUUCGUAGAUAGUGGGGAGGAACACCGGUGGCGAAGGCGACCAUCUGGACAGAUACUGACGCUGAGACGCGAAAGCGUGGGGAGCAACAGG
rnacentral:rRNA from 1 species